UAUCACUUCACUGUCUCCCCACUUCUCCCUGUGGCCACAAGCCCACAACUCUCUCUCUACCUCCUCAGGUCGCCCCUCCUCUUCGUCUCCACAGCCGACGUGAGGUCUCGCACCCCCUCUGCCCACUCUUCUCCGCACUUCCUCGUCGAAUCGGUCUCUGAAGUGCCCGAGGAUCCGCUCGAUCUCGGCAUGUUCGCUGGCUGACCCAGUGCUAGGCGUGGACGAAGGCCGACGCGGAGGCGCGGGACUCGUCUCCACCAGAUCGGCAGCCGUGGCAAUCAUGCAUCCGGAGCUCUGUGGCCCGGCUCCGUGCCUUCCUCUCCGUCUCGCUCGCCCGACGCUUGGAGCGUCUGCUCGUCGUCGGCUCCCACCACCCUGUGCGUGCGGCUGUGCUGUGCCCUGCCCUGCCCAGGUGCGGCAGUAGUGCCGCGGUGGCUGGUCCCCUGCAACUGCAAGCCGGCGCCGGUUGAUGAUCUAUUCCCCACUCCAGCUUUCAUAUAUUCUUAGUUCUGAUUUGAGGCAUACAAGGAAUGGAUAUUGAAGACCAUGGAAGAGUCGUCGAAUUUGUUCCAUCAUAAAUUUUUGGAACUCUGGAUAAACAGAAAGAUGUGAAUGGGGAGGCAUACCUGCCUGCCAUAUACAUCAACCCGAAGCUUUUGAGCGUUGUACAGAAGAAGUACUUGACAGUUUUACUUCAUGAUAGUCUUGGAUUUUGUUCGGUCAGAAUGAUCAGAUUGGCAAGGCUUUCAGGUGAGGUCAGUUACAUACUGAAGAGCAUGCACCUGUGUUGGCGACGAGCUCAUCAGCGCGGCCGUGGACGGGCGCCUGUCUAUAAGUCUAUGAGGAGUUUGAUAUUUACAGAGAAAGUCGACCCC